rnacentral:rRNA from 1 species
AUUGAACGCUGGCGGCAGGCCUAACACAUGCAAGUCGAGCGAGCGGCGGACGGGUGAGUAAUGUACGGGGAACUGUGCGCAAGAGGGGGGUAACUACUGGAAACGGUGGCGAAUACCGCAUACUAUCUGAUGAACCCAUCUGGGAUUAGAUAGUAGGUGGGGUAAAGGCUCACCUAGGCGACGAUCUCUAGCUGGUCUGAGAGGAUGAUCAGCCACACUGGAACUGAGACACGGCCCAGACUCCUACGGGGGGCAGCAGUGGGGAAUAUUGCACAAUGGGCGCAAGCCUGAUGCAGCCAUGCCGCGUGUAUGAAGAAGGCCUUAGGGUUUUAAAGUACUUUCAGCGGGGAGGCGUUACCCGCAGAAGAAGCACCGGCUAACUCCGUGCCAGCAGCCGCGGUAAUUC